GACGAACGCUGGCGGCGUGCUUAACACAUGCAAGUCGAACGGAAAGGCCCUGCUUUUGUGGGGUGCUCGAGUGGCGAACGGGUGAGUAACACGUGAGUAACCUGCCCUUGACUUUGGGAUAACUUCAGGAAACUGGGGCUAAUACCGGAUAGGAGCUCCUGCUGCAUGGUGGGGGUUGGAAAGUUUCGGCGGUUGGGGAUGGACUCGCGGCUUAUCAGCUUGUUGGUGGGGUAGUGGCUUACCAAGGGUUUGACGGGUAGCCGGCCUGAGAGGGUGACCGGGCACAUUGGGACUGAGGUACGGCCCAGACGCCUACGGGAGGCAGCAGUGGGGAAUAUUGCACAAUGGGCGGAAGCCAGAUGCAGCAGCGCCGCGUGCGGGAUGACGUCCUUCGGGGUGUAAACCGCUUUCGCCUGUGACGAAGCGUGAGUGACGGUAAUGGGUAAAGAAGCACCGGCUAACUACGUG
rnacentral:rRNA from 1 species